rnacentral:rRNA from 1 species
UACGUAGGGGGCAAGCGUUAUCCGGAUUUACUGGGUGUAAAGGGGGCGCAGACGGCAAUGCAAGCCAGGAGUGAAAGCCCGGGGCCCAACCCCGGGACUGCUCUUGGAACUGCAUGGCUGGAGUACAGGAGGGGCAGGCGGAAUUCCUGGUGUAGCGGUGAAAUGCGUAGAUAUUAGGAGGAACACCGGUGGCGAAGGCGGCUUGCUGGGCCUGUACUGACAUUGAGGCACGAAAGCGUGGGGAGCAAACAGG